CUUCCAGGCGCCCUGCUAGAAGCCCUAAGGUCCUACUACAUCCCUCCCCAAGAAAGGAGCAGUGAAGGUGGGUCCCCCAGGCCUGCCUAGAAAGGCUGCACAAAUGCAGUCAAUCAGAGCCCAGCAGUCUCAGAUAAAAGGAGCUGCAGGUCUGAGCAGGUCAGUUCCUAGCUGGGGCCAGAGGGGCAAAGAAGGGUGUUUUGCUCUGGACAAAAGGAGCUCAAUAUGCUGCAUUUGCUAAACCUGGGAGCGAAAGGACCUGAGAGCUCUAGCCCGAAGAAAGGAUUAAUAUUGACUGUGUGACUUGACCGGAGGGCUCAGCCAUUGAAGAUCCGCCUAAUGAGGUCGACAACCUACAGGGGGUGCCAGGAGAAAAAAAAAGAUUGUAGCAGCACCACACGCAGACGACAAGAGGCAUUCACAGAGAGUCUGAUGCCCUAUCCACUGGACCAUGCUGCAUCCUGCAGCUUGUGUGGGGCCUUCUGUGCAACAGAUAGUGUACUGCAGUAAUAUAACCUGAAGCAUAGAUCAUUUUGAUAGUCUCUUCAGAGAAGAAUGAUGGCAUUUUUUAAGCUACCUGAAGAUAGAAAAGGGCAUUUUUGGUCCCUAUCACUAUUUGAGCGUCUAAGAGCAGCAGAAUCCAAUAAGACAAACUCCACAUUACGUGGAUAAUCAGAGAGAAUGCCCACAGUAGAGGAUAACAGUUUGAGGCAUUUCCUUGAAGUAUUGUCCUCUCCCAACUAAUAUCACCAUUUUACCAAGGGUGAACAUGAGCCAGCUGUUUUUCAUCCAGCACCUGAGAGAAAUA